UAAAGAGGGGGCAAGCGUUGUUCGGAAUUACUGGGCGUAAAGGGCGCGUAGGCGGCCUUCUAAGUCGAACGUGAAAUCCCCGGGCUCAACCCGGGAACUGCGUCCGAUACUGGAAGGCUUGAAUCCGGGAGAGGGAUGUGGAAUUCCAGGUGUAGCGGUGAAAUGCGUAGAUAUCUGGAGGAACACCGGUGGCGAAGGCGACAUCCUGGACCGGUAUUGACGCUGAGGCGCGAAAGCCAGGGGAGCAAACGGG
rnacentral:rRNA from 1 species